AAAUUAAGGCAAGAAAACUAAUACAUGGAGAAAAGGACAAGUUAUGGGCCAAAGAACAGUUCCUCUGAAGAAUAACAAAAUGGAUCCCUAUUGUUGAAGUCAGAAGAAACAAUGAAGUCCCUACAGGGUGACCCAAAAACACAGGGCCCUGCUGAGCUCCCUGCCCCAAGCCUGAGAAAGAAAGGGUCACAGUCUCCCCUCUGCCACAUCUAAGGGUGGAGGUCAAUGCACA
rnacentral:lncRNA from 1 species